GGGUCAGUAGGUUGGUCGUGUCACCGGUACGUACUGGUCUCACUGAUUCCUCCUUCCUGAAGAACCGUAAUGCCAUUAAUUUGGUGUUGCGGGGAAACAGGACUGUUACUUUGAAAAAAUUAGAGUGUUUAAAGCAAGCUAACGCUUGAAUACAUUAGCAUGGAAUAAUGAAAUAGGACGAUCGAUCCUAUUUUGUUGGUUUCUAGGAUUGACGUA
rnacentral:rRNA from 1 species